GCACUAAUGGGGUAGUGGUAACCUUGGUCGUUGCCACCGUUCUUCAAAAUCUCAGAUUGAAAUUGUUUGUCCGGGAGGUCGCUGUUUCGACCAGCCGCGAGUUCGAUUCUUGCUUAGUGCA